rnacentral:tRNA from 1 species
GCCCUCGUAGUAUAAACCAAUACACCGGUCUUGUAAACCAGAAAUGGAGUAAGGCUUCUCCCCAGGGCA